UUUCCGGUUGAUCCCGCCGGAAGUCACUGCCAUCGGUGUCCGAUUAAGCCAUGCGAGUCGUGAGGGGUAAAGCCCUCGGCAUACUGCUCAGUAACACGUGGAUAAUCUACCCAAAGGUCUGGGAUAACCCCGGGAAACUGGGGAUAAAACCGGAUAGGCCAAUACGUCUGGAAUGUGUGUUGGCUGAAAGAGUAAUCGCCUUUGGAUGGGUCUGCGGCGGAUUAGGUAGACGCCGGUGUAACGUACCGGCGUGCCUGUAAUCCGUACGGGUUGUGGGAGCAAGAGCCCGGAGAUGGAUUCUGAGACACGAAUCCAGGCCCCACGGGGCGCAGCAGGCGCGAAAACUCUACAAUGCAGGCAACUGCGAUAGGGGGACAUCGAGUGGCACCCACCUUGGGUGUCUGUCCAACCGUCUAAAAAACGGUUGUUAGCAAGGGCCGGGUAAGACCGGUGCCAGCCGCCGCGGUAAUACCGGCGGCUCGAGUGGUGGCCGAUAUUAUUGAGUCUAAAGGGUCCGUAGCCGGCUUUGCAAGUCCUCUGGGAAAUCCAGCGGCUUAACCGUUGGGCUUCCAUGGGAAACUACAUUGCUUGGGACUGGGAGAGGUAGGAGGUACUCGAGGGGUAGGGGUGAAAUCCCGUAAUCCUUCGGGGACCACCGGUGGCGAAGGCGUCCUACCAGAACAGGUCCGACGUGAGGGACGAAAGCUAGGGGCACGAACCGGAUUAGAUACCCGGGUAGUCCUAGCCGUAAACGAUGCCCGCUAGUGUCACGGCGGUCGUGAAUCGCCGUGGUGCCGUAGGGAAGCCGCGAAGCGGGCACUUGGAAGUACGGCGCAAGCUGAAACUUAAAGGAAUUGGCGGGGGAGCACACAACGGGUGGAGC
rnacentral:rRNA from 1 species